GGUUGUAUAGUGUAGCGGUUAGCACGUGGGAUUUUGACUGGUGCCUCAAUCUUCCUGAGACUCCGGUUCGAGCCCGGGUACGACCU
rfam:Microdochium bolleyi strain J235TASD1 unplaced genomic scaffold Micbo1qcscaffold_54, whole genome shotgun sequence.